GUACUUCCGGGGCGCCGCUGCCUGGAGACGGCGGUGCUGCGCGGGAGCGCUCCGAUUCCUGCUACAUUAUGUCAGGAGACAGCGACUGCACCAGGACAAGUCCAUCAGCAGGGUCUCCAUCAGACAACGAGUUCUUGCCAGAUCGGCCAAAGUAUGUUUGCUCACUGUCUCCUGAUCUCAUUACCAAAGCCCGGGAAGAGCUCCAGGAGAAACCUGAAUGGAGGCUCCGUGAUGUGCAGGCACUCCGAGAUAUGGUGUGCAAAGACUAUCCCUCCCUGGGGACCUGCCUGGACGAUGCUUUUUUGCUAAGAUUCCUUAGAGCCAGGAAAUUUGAUUAUGAUCGAGCGCUUCAGCUUCUGGUGAACUACCACACCUGUAGGAGGAGCUGGCCUGAGGUCUUCAAUAACUUGAAGCCGUCUGCAAUAAAGCCUGUCCUAGAGUCUGGUUUUGUCACUGUGCUGCCUCGUCUGGACCCAGAGGGACGCCAUGUUGUCUGCAUCCGCCCAGACAGAUGGACACCCAGUAAUUAUCCGAUUACUGAGAACAUUCGUGCCAUAUACUUAACGUUAGAAAAACUCAUUCAGUCCGAAGAGACCCAGGUGAAUGGAAUUGUAAUCCUGGCAGACUACAAAGGAGUCAGCUUAUCUAAGGCGUCUCAUUUUGGUCCUUUUGUAGCCAAAAAAGUGAUUGGAAUUCUUCAGGAUGGAUUCCCCAUUCGAAUAAAAGCUGUUAACAUAAUAAAUGAGCCUCGUAUAUUCAAAGGCAUUUUUGCAAUCAUCAAGCCUUUUCUGAAGGAGAAGAUAGCAAACCGGUUUUUUCUUCAUGGCUGUGAUCUGAAUUCCCUUCAUCAAAACAUUCCUCCAGUGAUCCUUCCUGAAGAGUAUGGUGGUACUUCAGGGAAGCUGGACAUCUCUGCAUGGAAUGAGCUGCUGCUAGCCUCUGAAGAAGACUUCCUGCAUGAUUUCUCACAGCUGGUUCUCCCGUGUGACAGCUCUCCCCAUGACAUGCUAGUGAGCGGGGAUGCUGAUGAAAAGCAAUGUGAUGAUUCUCUGCGAGGCAUGAAACCUCAACUCUAUUACUGUUAUUAACAAACCAGUGAAAGGAAGUUUUCCAGCACAGUUAAGAUCUGUUCUGGUAGGUGAUGUUGUGAACUCUGCCUUACUCCUAAACCUGCAGUUUAGGAACAGACCGCUGAGGCACUUUAUACUGUAGAACCAAAGGAAGCUGAAGAGGGCACAAUGGGGGCAGGGCAGAGUUCGGUGAGGAUAAAAGCAAAGAGCACAAGUUAUGUAGAAUACUUGAGGCUCAUCAACCUCUGUGUGAAUAAUGCAAACUGGCCUAGUCUUUCUAAUGAUAAAGAAAAAAAAAAUACUGCAGGAUGGUAAGCUUGAUGGCUUCUUAUCCCCUACCCACACAGGUGAAAAGUGAUGACGAUUAUUUACUAGCUUUUUGACCAUCUGUUUCCUUCCUCUUCUGCAAACACCAGUAAUCCAAGACAAGAAAACUGCUUUUGAACCCUGCAAAAUAUAGUUCUGUCAGUGAGGAUUGCUUAAAAACAUAAAAGUCUAACUUGGCCUGUCCUCUGUCACUUGGUUCAGAUUGUGAGUUGGUAUUUCUGAAAUAUAUCUCAAUGAAUAUUUGUCUCAAAUUAAUACAGAGCAAAACUUUCUUAUCCAUGAAUAUCAGUAUGGAGAUCAUCUCUGAAACUUCCUCACAGUAGGAAGAACUAUAACUGGUCGAUUAACCACUACAUCUAUGCCAAGGCUUAUUAUAAACAGAUGCAAUCUUCAUUUUCAGAAAACAGGAAGUCUUUCAGGUAAAGUACUAAGGCUUUUGAUUAGAUAACAGCUUCAAAUAAUGAGGUUCAGGACCAAAUAAGAAAAAGCUAUGGCAGCCACCUUCCCACACUGUCAGUUGUUCUUUUCUUCAGCUGGUUCUGAUGAGGAAUUGGGUAAGUAACUCAUACACAGAAUUUGUAAGGAGGCUUUGCAGCAGUUGGCAUAUGAUGUAUAGAAGGCAAUACUUCAUGUGAGACAGCAAGGUGCUUCUUUAGCUUGUUACUUUGGGCAGAAUUUGAGUUUACGUCUGUGAAACCAAAUGCAGACAGGCUAUUUGAAAGCACAUUCUUAAAUUUCCUGGUAUUGUAGCAUUUUGUUCACUGUGCUUGUCGGCUCUUUUGUGAAAUGUUACAACUUUGUUUUCAACUUCGUCGACCUCUUUUGUCUUUGGUUAUCAUGUUCCUAUAUGAAGUUAGACUUUAAUCAUCUCUGUAAUAUUUACCUGUAGCUUGUAUGCCUGUGCUUCUAGGUCUUUGUCUAGAGACAGAAUUAAGACUCCGAUGUCAAACCAGGGUAAGAUAACUAUGUCUAAAUAAGCUGUUCCCACUCCCCAAGUUCAAUCUGUUUAAUGGUCUUGAAUUAGAACUUAACUCUCAGCACACUCUUUGCACAUGUUUUUCUGCACUAUAAUAGUGUGGAGAUGGGAAACCUCAUUAGGACCAGGAAAGCACACCCUGUUACAUAAAGGUGAAAUAUUUCACUAUUCGGUGAAAAAGAACAUUCAUUGUAAUUGGAGAUUUAUCUCUAAAGCACUUUCUGUGGAUGAAAUCUUUAAUUAGUGCCAAGUGUGACUACAGGUACCAAUUAUGUUUCUGUAAAUAUAAAACUAAAGCAUCUUGAGGAUUUCAGACAUUCAUUUUUCAAAGUGCCAAACUCUGUUUUGAAUGUCUGUCUUCUUUCAGUCCCCCUACAGCAUGAUUGCACUGCCAAAGAGAGACUCAUCUACUACUGUAAUGACUUCCUCAUCUGGCAGCAGACCUUGUUCUGGAACUAGGGGGUAGCAAAUGUUAUACCUGUCAUCCAAGCAUUACAAAAGGAAACUGGGCUUUGAGAAGGGGUAAUCCAUGAAGCUUUAUUCUGGGUGGCAUUUCAGAAUUUGUGGGAGUAGGGAACUAAUUGCUUGAACUGUUUUAGAUUAAAGGUGGGAAGAGAUUAAUUUUCCUCACUGAAAGCAUCUGAUUUUUCCUACUUCUAUAAGUCAAUUCUUAUGCCUUUCUGACAGCUAUUACCUUUAGUGCCAGGGGAAAAAAAAAACCCUACCAUUUUCAUCUACUUAAAAUAACGUAAAAGAGUACUGCUAGCCACUUGCUCAUUUCUGACCAGAAUGUGCUGCGUGUUUUGCAGAGAUUAAUUCAGUUCUUUGUGCCACCUAGCAAGACAGUAGCACACAGCACCAGGACUUAGAAAGAAAGCACAGCUCUGUCUUAUAUGCGCCUGACUAUGGAGCUGAGAAUGCUCUGAGCUUUGCUAGUAAGUGCUAAAGAAGUCAGUUUGUUUCCAAAAUUUCUUAUGUCAGCAUUUGGAAAAUAAAUACUUGUUUUAAGUAUACAGUCUCCUUAUCUGCAAAUUAAGAGACUAGAUAGGAAAAGCUUACAGAUUGGGGGUUUUGUUUGUUUUUUUUACAGCACUAAAACUGAUCUGUUCUUUUUUCCACUUGAAAUAACUUUGUUUCCAGAGUUUAUAUGCCUUGCUCAGUACAUAAGCCAACGCCAAAUCCAAUGCAUAAUAAGGAAAGAUACUUGAACUGCAAUGGGCAGCCACGGCUUUUGGCAUUAAGUGGGACAAAAGGUAGCUGCAUACUAUACAUAAAAGUACUUGAAUUUAUACUCUUGCAAAUGGGUGUUACAAACCCUGAGGUAUUUUCAGGAACUGGGUGAAGUAUUGUUUUUGUUAAAUCUCAUUUUGGCAUGAGUUAAUCAUAGUGUUAUUCAAACUAAUAAUUUUGCCUUCUGUUAUAUGUGGGCCUAGAGGUGUUGGGUGGUUAAGUGUACAUCUUAUUUUGACAGAAUUUAUUUUUAUAUUGCAUUUUAUAAAAUGGAGUGGUCAAAAUGUGUAAUUUUAUGAUGCAUGACUGGGUGAUUAAACACAUUGUAACAGCUGCUAAUUUGAUAUUUUAAAUGUUUGCCUUGUGUCAUGUUGGGGUAUUUUAUUGUAAAACUCAAUAGCAACAUAUAAUUAGUUCCACACUAAACACAUAGUUGCAACUAAGUAUAAUUGCCACAGUGUUAUAUCAGAAAAAGGUGUUGCUUUCUACUGCAGAACUAAAUCUUACUUGAAUAACUGUACCUGAGCAACUUCAAGGAAUAGGAUUUGACAUUCAGAGAAUCACAUGGAAGAUGCUAUUUGUUUCAAAGGAAAUAUAUUAUGACUUAACUAUUUGCUGCAUGGAAAAAACAGCCAGUCACAUCCAACUGGACACUGCAGCAG